UGCUCUUGUGCAACAUUUGCGUAGCAGAGUUGAGAGACCAAAAUCUGCUUGGAAUUCUCUGCUGCUCACACAGGAAUAACACACUCACCAUGGAGGUGCACAUGCAUUCUCUUCUCUUUCUGAUGCUGGGUGUGUGCUGUUCAGGGAGAGAACAGAAAGAGACCUGGUGAAUGGAAGAUUACAGCACAUUACAAAGGUGACUAGAAAAAUGCUGCAGUGGUCCAGAAAUUCAAGGUCCAGAAAUUUGAUAUGGCACAUAUGGCAAGACCAUUGAUGGUGGUUUCCACUGACAGUUUGCAAGAGGGUCUGGCUGCAGACUUGCACUUGCACUCUCAGACUUGCACUCUCAGACACUUGCGCUUCCGCUAGUGACAUCACUUGCAGUCUUUAUUUUAUAUUUUGUUCUAUUUAAUUAUUAUUUUUUGUCUGAAUCUCUC
ensembl:lncRNA